GUUGAAGUGAGACCAAGAACCCACCAAUUCCGGACACAUUGGCCCUCCGAACCCUGAAGAGAUCAUCAUAUAUAUGUGCUGCCGAAGCGAGCACUCCUGAAGAGAUUAACUAAGAGUCUAGCACCUUUUAAGUUAGAAGAGACUGCCCACAUAGGGAGAGUGGCACAGAGGAGAGUAACAUCAAUCAACAGCGAAUAUGCACUUGAUCGCGGUCUAAUCAGCACCAGGCACCUCAGGGCAGCAGUAUUGUCAGACGCAUUGGAACCAGAGGGACUCCAUCUUGAAUAAGGUCUGGGUAAAAUGAGGCUAACACCUACUGGGCUGCAUUCCCAGGAGGUUAAGCAUUCUUAGUCACAGGACAAGAUAGGUCAGCAGGACAAGAUAGAGGUCAUAAAGACCCUGCUGAUAAAACAAUGCCAUAAAGAAGGCAGCCAAAACCUGCCAAAACCAAGGUGGUGAUGAAAGUGACCUCUAGUUGUCCUCACUGCUCACUAUACGCUAAUUAUAAUGCAUUAGCAUACUCAAAGACACUCCCAGCAGCACCACGACAGUUUACAAACGCCAUGGCAACAUUAGGAAGUUACCCUAUAUGGUCUAAAAGGGGAGGAACCCUCAGUUAGGGUAAAUCCCUGCCCUUUUCCUGGAAAACUCAUGAAUGAUCCACCCCUUGUUUAACAUAUAAUCAAGAAAUAACUAUACGUGUACUCAGUUGAACAUCCCGUGCCACUGCUCUGCCUAUGGAGUAGCCAUUCUUUUAUUCUUUUACUUCUCUAAUAAACUUGCUUUCACUUUAC
rnacentral:lncRNA from 1 species